AUUGAACGCUGGCGGCAGGCCUAACACAUGCAAGUCGAACGAGUGGCGGACGGGUGAGUAAUGUCUGGGAAACUGCCUGAUGGAGGCGGAUAAGUGCUGGAAACGGUAGCUAAUACUGCAUACCACCAGUUCUGCCCAGAUGGGAUUAGCUAGUUGGUGGGGUAACGGCUCACCAAGGCGACGAUCCCUAGCUGGUCUGAGAGGAUGACCAGCCACACUGGGACUGAGACACGGUCCAGACUCCUACGGGAGGCAGCAGUGGGGAAUAUUGCACAAUGGGCGCAAGCCUGAUGCAGCCAUGCCGCGUGUAUGAAGAAGGCCUUCGGGUUGUAAAGUACUUUCAGCGGGGAGGCGUUACCCGCAGAAGAAGCACCGGCUAACUCCGUGCCAGCAGCCGCGGUAAUUC
rnacentral:rRNA from 1 species